rnacentral:rRNA from 1 species
GAAUGCCGAAGAGAUUUGGCAGUGCUCGCAAGAGAACCGGAACACAGGUGCUGCAUGGCUGUCGUCAGCUCGUGUCGUGAGAUGUUGGGUUAAGUCCCGCAACGAGCGCAACCCUUGUCAUUAGUUGCUACGCAAGAGCACUCUAAUGAGACUGCCGGUGACAAACCGGAGGAAGGUGGGGAUGACGUCAAGUCCUCAUGGCCCUUAUGGGUAGGGCUUCACACGUCAUACAAUGGUCGGGACAGAGGGUCGCCAACCCGCGAGGGGGAGCCAAUCUCAGAAACCCGAUCGUAGUCCGGAUCGCAGUCUGCAACUCGACUGCGUGAAGUCGGAAUCGCUAGUAAUCGCGGAUCAGAAUGUCGCGGUGAAUACGUUCCCGGGUCUUGUACACACCGCCCGUCACACCAUGGGAGUGGGUUUCACCAGAAGUAGGUAGCCUAACCGCAAGGAGGGCGCUUACCACGGUGGGAUUCAUGACUGGGGUGAAGUCGUAACG